rnacentral:rRNA from 1 species
UACAGAGGGUGCGAGCGUUAAUCGGAAUUACUGGGCGUAAAGCGUGCGUAGACGGCUAUCUAAGUCGGGUGUGAAAGCCCCGGGCUCAACCUGGGAAUUGCAUUCGAGACUGAAUAGCUAGGGUGCGGUAGAGGGAAGCGGAAUUCCCGGUGUAGUGGUGAAAUGCGUAGAUAUCGGGAGGAACACCAGUGGCGAAGGCGGCUUCCUGGCCUGUUCUUGACGCUGAGGCGCGAAAGCUAGGGGAGCAAACGGG